GUCGCAGAGACAAGGGAGUCAUCCGAGCGUUCGCUAAUCUUGAAUUGGCAGCAGAGUUUGAAGAGGUUGGUAGAUUUCUUUGCAUCAUCUCACCCGGUUGGCCUCAGAAGAUUAAUUAAAUCCUUUUUUGGUUAUAUACGAGUUAAGUUUAUGUUACAUUAGCUUCAAAGAUCUGAUUUCUGAUUCCAUUUUUAUUAGAAAACGUUACAUAUGCAUCUUUGAAUUAGUAUUUUUGUAAUAUUUUCCUCGGUCCAUUGUAUUUCAGUCAAAUGUUCCUCACUACAACUGAUUAGAGUUUGGAGAAUCAGUUGAAAGACAUGGUGAAGCGUGGAAAGAAUCUGAGAGUGAAGGAAGCUGAUUGAAGAUAUAGAUGAGUACGACGGUGACGACCCUCUCUUCCCAUGGAUAAAGUGUUUUAAAGGGGUGCAGGAGGCGUUUCCUCCGGGUUUCAUCGAUUGUCAUAAGAUUCCUGAAAUAGCUAUGCAAAGAGAUUGAUUGCUCGGAGAUUUAUUGACACCUCUGUCCAAAGUGACAUGAAGCUAUGGCCUUUCAAGAUCUUACCUGCUCCUGCCGAUAAACCAAUGAUCGUCGUCAACUACAGAGGCGAAUAGAAACAGUUCGCCGCCGAGGAGAUAUCUUCCAUGGUUCUCAUCAAUAUAAGUGAGCUCUAUUGAGAAUUACGAAUGCGGUGCGGAGCCACUUUUCCAGCUAUACAAGAUUCUACUGAAGGCACCUGGUGUAUAUGGAGCACGGUUCAGUGGUGCAGGCUUCAGGGGAUGUUGUGUAGCCUUUGUGGAUGCAGAGAAAGCUGAGGAAGCUACUUCAUAUGUGAAGGAUGAAUACGAAAAGGCCCAACCCGAGUUUGCGAAGAAACUGAGUGGAGGUAAACCUGUUCUCAUCUGUGAAGCAGGUGACUCUGCUCGCGUUCUCUGUUCAAACUCGAAGUUUUUUUCCCUCGAGUGCUCUGUUAUAGUUGUUGAUUCUUAUUUGUUCAUCCUUUUUUUUAUUCUCUCUGUGAGAUUCUCUGAUCUGUUUAGUCAAGAGAUAGAAAUGGCGCAUGCAUUGAUACGUUUUUAUUGUUACCAACAAUUUGACAAUACGUAAUGUAAAUCAUUUAUCUUUCUGUUU